GUCUGCUUAUACUGGGAAGACAUCGUAUGUGUAUAAAUCAGCAGAGAGAACUAAGCUUGUGAAGAGUGGAUUUAGAAUUAUUGGAAAUGCAGGUGAUCAAUGGAGCGAUAUCUUGGGGACAAAUGUUGGCAAUCGGACCUUCAAGUUGCCUGAUCCAAUGUAUUACAUUAGUUGAUAUAUCAGUGUUCUGAUUUUUGUUUUGCUUUUGCAAAACACUUGAAUCAUGUUUGAUUAAGACUUUUUAUUGACCAAAUAAAAAGUGGCAAUGUUGUAAGUGCACUUUAUCUCGAGUAUGAUAUAAGGAAAAUACUUGGACCAUUCUCUGUAAGUGAGAGAUUUUUCAAUGUGAACAUCAUAACGACGCAUGUUAUCAUUCUCUUUAGAAAGAGCCAUUGUUCCCUAAAUAAAUUACAAUUUAACCCUUGUGAAGAAAUUUUUCUUUUUAUACUUUUAAUGAGUUAUAUAUGUAUGAGAAUAUGAUUUAUAUAUAUAGGGACAAAUAGCUCCUUACAGGGAGGAGCCACUGCAAUGUUCUUAAUUUCGUCAUAACCCUUGGACUGUUGAGUUUUAAAAUCGUCAUACCUUUUUUCUCCUUCAAUUUUCUCUCAACAACCAAGCAAGAGCUCUUUGGGCCUCUUUCAGUGAGUUUUUCUUUUCAAUUGUUGUGUAUAUACUCAUAAAAAUAUCCCUAAUUGGCACCCUUGAGUUUUAGUCAAUUUUUUCCAUGGUCCUCCUUACAAGAUUUUUUAUAGUUUCCACCCAAACCUCUUUCACUCACCAAGAAACAGAUGAGCUAAGGAAUGCCCAACCACAUUACACUCCCCAGGCUGAAACGACACUUCAAACCAACAUGAUAGCAGUAACUAUACUAUUUUUUUCAUUUUUUAUGAAGCAUUUCUCUAGAUGGCUAGGUAAACUAAUUAAAAAAUUGCCAACGGAAUUUAGUCUAGUUGAAAAGAAUAUUGAUUUGCACACUAGUGAUCUCAGGUUCAAACCCCAAUAAUACCUUUACAGUGUGUGUAAGAAAAACAAAAUAAAAUUAUUGCCAAAACUAGUCUUCUUCCUAAUGAGCAUGAUUUUGAAGACAAAAUCAAGAUGCAUCCAAGCCAACUCAUCUAGGACAUAGACAUCAAUAAUUUUUGUUGUUGUCAGACUUGAGGAAAAUUUUAUUAUAAUCGUAAUUAUCGUCAAAUGAAGGGUCAUUUAGCUAUAGUAGAGGCUAUUUAUAGAAGGCAAAAGCAGAAGUUUCCUCCCAAACAAUAUUUACUCAUACAUCAUGGAAAUAUUGCCAAUACUAGUCUUCUUCCUUGCCACAGUUGUAUCAACAACUCAAGGUCAUGAGCCACUUGUAACCCACCAUAUUCAUCUCCUCAGGCCAAAAUCCGGAGCGGGCGGUGACAGCGUUCCUGGCGUGUCGUGCUUAAGUUGGAGAUUGGGGGUGGAAACUAACAACAUUAUUAACUGGAAGACUGUUCCAGCAGAAUGUGAGAGCUAUGUUGGGCACUACUUGCUUGGCCACCAGUACAGGAAAGACUCAAAGGUGGUCACUAAUGAGGCUUGGCUCUAUGCUAAGAGUCUCAAUCUUACAAACGAUGGCAAGAAUGUGUGGGUGUUUGAUAUAGAUGAGACUACGCUCUCUAAUCUACCUUAUUAUGCUGAUCAUGGAUUUGGGUAAGUUUCUUUAUAUUAAUGUUAUUACUCUAAUUUUGUUUUCGUUUUAUAUAUAUACUGUAUAUAUUUAAUACAAACGAUAGUGUAAACUACAACAGGUAGAGAGUUUGUUACACACAUGUCACUAUCAAGUUGUCAAAAUGAGUUCUAACAUGAGAUCAUUGGUUUGAAAAUUAAUGUCAUUUUUCAUUGGGCUAGACCUUGUUGGCUUGCCUUAUAUACUAUAUACAUUAGAUGUAUUUUGCAAUCAAAUUUUCAUUGUUCUAAUCAUAAUAACAAAUUCGUUAAAUAAAAAAUAAUAACAAUAACAAAUAAAAAAUUUCAUAUAUCACCAUCAUGAUUUUAUUGUAGAACCCUUCACACGUUUUGUAUAUCCUUGUUUGAUAAAAUAUAUAUAUAUAUAUUACGAAAAUCAACGAAUUAAUGAAUUAAAGUAGUAGGGGUAAGCCGGCAAGGGAUGAUAUCAUGAGAUAAUUAUAUUAUUUCGAAAUAUCACUCUUGGAUUUGAAUAUUUGAUUAAACCAAAAUCAAAAGUUUCUAUAAUAAAAAAAGCAAAGAAAAUCCAUUGAGAGAUUCUAGAAAUAAAAUAUUUCUUGAUAAUUUAUGGAUUAUUGGAAAAUCACAUGCACGAAGGUUUGUCCCUGUCUUUGGUAGGGUUGCUUGGGCCCUUAUAUUUUAAACAUGUGAAAUUUCAGGACGGAGUUAUACAAUUCCACUGCAUUCAAUACAUGGGUCUUGGAAGGCACAGCCCCAGCUUUGCCUGAGAGUCUCAAGCUCUACAAAAAGCUUUUGAAACUUGGAGUCAAGGUUGUAUUCAUAACAGGAAGUGGAGAAGGUCAAAGAAAUGUCACAACCACCAAUCUCAAGAAUGUUGGAUAUCACACUUGGGAGAAGCUUGUGCUCAAGUAAGAAUCAAUAUUCCCAAAUUAUCCCUUAUACACUUGGGUUAUAGUUAACGGUUUAAAUUAUAACUUCUCGUUUACAAUUGUGGGUUAGAUCAUUUGAUAAGAACAAUAUCUCCCCGCUCGUCAAACUGAAAAGGCAUUUCUAUUGUACUGUUUAUAUUUUAGUAACAUUUUUGGCUUGCAGGGGAUCGACUUAUUCUGGCAACACAUCAUAUGUGUACAAAUCAACAGAGAGAACUAAGCUUGUGAAGAGUGGAUUUAGAAUAAUUGGGAAUAUUGGUGAUCAAUGGAGUGAUAUCUUGGGGACAAAUGUCGGCAAUCGGACCUUCAAGUUACCUGAUCCAAUGUAUUACAUUAGUUGAAUGUCUUCAUUAAGGUUUCCUAAUGAGCAAAUCAAAAACCCAAAAGGUAGCAAUGAUUUCUGUUUACAGCUAGCACAUAAGUGAAUUUUUAUUACAGCUAGCUACAAUAAGUUAAAUUUUAUCC
rnacentral:lncRNA from 1 species